rnacentral:rRNA from 1 species
UACGGGGGGGGCAAGCGUUGUUCGGAAUUACUGGGCGUAAAGGGCUCGUAGGCGGCCAAUUAAGUCAGACGUGAAAUCCCUCGGCUUAACCGGGGAACUGCGUCUGAUACUGGAUGGCUUGAAUCCGGGAGAGGGAUGCGGAAUUCCAGGUGUAGCGGUGAAAUGCGUAGAUAUCUGGAGGAACACCGGUGGCGAAGGCGGCAUCCUGGACCGGCAUUGACGCUGAGGAGCGAAAGCCUGGGGAGCAAACGGG